UUUCUACUCUAGUUAAUAUUACGUUGAAGGAAGUGACGGUCGAGCUUAUUUUUGAAGGAGUCAAUCGUGUUGCACUGGACCACUGAUGGUGGAAGCUUAUUCCAUUCUCGCACUACAACGUUGGUGAAGAAAAAUUUGGUGCAGUCUGAAUUUACUUGUCUACAUCUGAGUUUUACGCCAUUGUUCCUCGUGCGCAAAGUGUCAUCGAUCAGAAACAAUGUUGAUCUGUCUAUAUUCGUGAAACCAUUAAGUAUUUUAAAACAUUCGAUCAGUUUUCCUCGGAGGCGACGUUUCUCAAGAGAGAACAUGUUAAGGGUAGAAAGCCUUUCUUCGUAGGAUUUGUUGCGCAAGGAAGGGAUCAUUUUCGUUGCCCGACGCUGAAUACCUUCUAAUUUAGCUAUAUCCUUUGCAUGGUGGGGAGACCAAAACUGUACCGCAUAUUCCAAGUGGGGUCUGACUAAACUGUUGUAGAGCGGGAGUAUUACAUCUUUAUUCUUGAAUAAAAAGUUUCUUUUAAUGAAGCCCAACAUUCUGUUCGCUUUAUUUGCUGCAUCGAUGCAUUGCUGUGAGAAUUUGAGGUUUGACGCGAUUUUGAUCCCCAAGUCCUUGACGCAUUGAACGCUUUUGAGUUUAACGCCGUGCAUUUCGUAAUCGAACUUCUUAUUCCUCGUUCCAACUUGAAGGACCUGGCACUUGCUUACGUUAAAGGGCAUCUCCCAUCUAUCCGACCAAGCUGAAAUUUUGUGCAGAUCCUCUUGGAGGCUUUGCCUGUCUUCGUCAGUGAGAACCGAGUUACCAAUCUUUGUGUCGUCUGCAAAUUUACUAAUGCGAUUAUUGAGUCUAACAUCCACGUCGUUGAUGUAAAUAAUGAAGAGCACUGGGCCAAGAACCGAGCCCUGAGGAACGCCACUAGUGACCGGCGCCCACUCUGAGUUAAAUCCGUCAAUCACUACUCUUUGUUGUCUGUUGCUCAACCAAUUCGCGAUCCAUUGGUGUACUUGACCGUCAAUACCUAUUUGCUUUAAUUUGUAAAGUAAUUUAUGAUGUGGGACUUUAUCAAACGCUUUCUGGAAAUCAAGAUAGACUACGUCCAGUGAUUUGGUUACGUCAUAAACAGUGAAGAGGUCGUUAUAAAAGGUUAAUAAGUUUGAUAGGCAGGAUCUUUUGUUUCGGAAGCCAUGUUGUGAGUCCCCAAUCAAUGAGUGGCUUUCAAGGUAAUUCACAAUUUUGUCUCUAAUUAUGCCCUCAAGUAGCUUACCUACAACCGAAGUUAGACUAAUGGGCCUGUAAUUACCUGGUACUUUAUUGUC